rnacentral:antisense_RNA from 4 species
CACACAUAGGCGCCUCCUGGAAAGGACACUAUGGAUAGUUGACGUUCGGGGGGACUAGCCCCGGACGUCAACGCUUCA